AGUUCAGAAGUUUUGGCUUCAGCGCUGUCUGGUUUGGAUGCCAUCUCAGGCGAUAUACCAACAUGAAAUGAUUCCAGUCAACCAGCAUUCUAGAGCAGACUUGGAGGAGAGAAAACACUAAAGAAUGCAAGACAAAGCAUCAGAAGGAUACAACCCAAACAGCUGAGUGACCCAAAUGGCAGGAAGUGCUUCCAGAACUUGAUUCACAAGGAAACCAGAUAAAUGGAUUUUCAUAGCAAAUUUCAUCAUUUUUUGUGAAGGACUGCAGCAGGAAAAAAAAGAAUAGAAAACAAAAAG